UCUUUCAGUUUUGAAAAUGUAAGUUGGAUUUUCUCUUUCAGGUUGCCAUCUGGUGUAUUGCGUACAGUCUCAGAGAGUAAGAGGCCAUCUGUUAAUACUUUUUCAGGAAGCUUUUUAUAGAGCAGUGAAGUGGCAAAUCUCAAAAACACGUUGUAAUGACUUACAAGAUCUUGGCAACAAGAUUUAAUUGGUGAUGUUUUGGAGCUUCCCUCUAUGGAACCAGUCCUGCUUCAAUGAAGAGUAAUAGCAAGAUCUUUUUCUCUUCAGUAGUUCAGAAUUUGAUGGUGGGAUAUCAAAAAUACCAUCCAGCAUCGGCCUUGAUUGCAGUAAUGGAUGAAGAACUGCUUGUGCUGGAGGAUACCGAAUUAGCAAGGAGCACCAUGUGUUCUUGUGGAUGUGCAUGAGAGAUGAAUAGGAAGGAGAUGAAAACUUAUAUUUGACUGCCUGCAGGAUAAUUGCGUUAGUGCAUGAUAAUCCAGGACAUGGUUCAACCGUGGAGACUGAAAUUCUGAAAUGGUGGGGCUGUCCUUACUCCUGGUGUACUACAAGGAACUGUGUUGCCUGCCGUGGUUCUGCUCCAAAUCAGGCCAUUUGAUACGCUUGGGGUGUGGGUACCACUCCAAUAGUCUCAAGAAAUGCUCAUUUCAAUGUGGAAAAAAUGCUGGACUAGUUGGCUGUCCCAAAUCCAGGUGAAGAGCUCUGCAGAAAUUA